GAUGAACGCUGGCGGCGUGCCUAACACAUGCAAGUCGAGCGGAGAUCAUAGCAAUGUGAUCUUAGCGGCGGACGGGUGAGUAACGCGUGAGCAAUCUGCCCUUAACAGUGGGAUAACACAGGGAAACUUGUGCUAAUACCGCAUAAUAUCACGGAUGGGCAUCCAUCUGUGAUCAAAGGAGUAAUCCGGUGAAGGAUGAGCUCGCGUCCGAUUAGCUAGUUGGUGGGGUAAAGGCCUACCAAGGCGACGAUCGGUAGCCGAACUGAGAGGUUGAUCGGCCACAUUGGGACUGAGACACGGCCCAGACUCCUACGGGAGGCAGCAGUGGGGAAUAUUGCGCAAUGGGGGAAACCCUGACGCAGCAACGCCGCGUGAAGGAUGAAGGUCUUCGGAUUGUAAACUUCUUUGAUCGGGGAUGAAUAAUGACAGUACCCGAAAAACAAGCCACGGCUAACUACGUGCCAGCAGCCGCCGUAA
rnacentral:rRNA from 1 species